rnacentral:rRNA from 1 species
CUGAUGCUCCGGCUGCGACGACGACGGGUCAAGCUGAUGCCUCAACUGCUGGGGAGAGAGAACGGUCUCGUUGGUCAGCAACUUCGGGUCCUCUGCCUGCGGUGACAGCUGCUUCUGAGGAUGAUGGUGAUCUCCACGGAUGAUGAUGUACGUCCGGCGACUGCUACUGGUCCUCAUCAAUCCUCCUAGGGUACGUCCUCCGGACGCGGAGAAAGCUAGACAUAGGGUCAAACACGAUCGGUAGAAUUCCGUUGAACAAAUUGAAUACAGACAUGAGUCUAUAACAACUAAGGCGACUGAGCAAAUAGAAGCUCGUGAACAUAAUCUCGGGAGUUCCGGGAACCGAACAUUAUACUACGAACAUACUGAAUAAAAUGAAAAAUCUCAACACAACACUAUAGAAGGGUACUCAGGGACUAGAACUAGCAUAUGUAAACGCA